rnacentral:lncRNA from 1 species
UCUUUCUGGAUACCAAAAUGAUAUGUUUUUUAAUGUUAUCAGAUUCCAGUGAAGUUAACAAAAAAAUAUGUUUUGCGGUAUUGAAUGAAAACACAUGAAAACGUACAAAGAGAAUCUAAAGUCGACUAUUUACAAGUAUAAGUAUAUGAACGAACGACAAGAACAUUUAAUGUAUAAAUGAAAAGAAUAAGAUUACUAUGUUAACAUUCUAAUAUUUAUGUCAA